AUUGAACGCUGGCGGCAGGCCUAACACAUGCAAGUCGAGCGGUAGCACAGAGAGCUUGCUCUCGGGUGACGAGCGGCGGACGGGUGAGUAAUGUCUGGGAAACUGCCUGAUGGAGGGGGAUAACUACUGGAAACGGUAGCUAAUACCGCAUAACGUCGCAAGACCAAAGAGGGGGACCUUCGGGCCUCUUGCCAUCAGAUGUGCCCAGAUGGGAUUAGCUAGUAGGUGGGGUAACGGCUCACCUAGGCGACGAUCCCUAGCUGGUCUGAGAGGAUGACCAGCCAAACUGGAACUGAGACACGGUCCAGACUCCUACGGGAGGCAGCAGUGGGGAAUAUUGCACAAUGGGCGCAAGCCUGAUGCAGCCAUGCCGCGUGUAUGAAGAAGGCCUUCGGGUUGUAAAGUACUUUCAGCGGGGAGGAAGGCGAUAAGGUUAAUAACCUUGUCGAUUGACGUUACCCGCAGAAGAAGCACCGGCUAACUCCGUGCCAGCAGCCGCCGUAA
rnacentral:rRNA from 1 species